rnacentral:lncRNA from 1 species
UUUCAUUUUGUGGAUUAGUCCUCCUGUAGGCCUUGCACAGGUGAAGAUCCUGGCUGCAUCUACUUAAUUUGACAGGCAAUGGGGAGCUCUUGAAUAUUUGUGUGCAGAAGGCUGGAGGUCACAGAUGUAUGAUAUACUUAGUAAGUGCUGGGAGCAGAAAGAAGGGAGAUCUAUCAGAAAAGAGGGAACAAGGGAAGGAGGAAACAGGAGAUCUACUCCAUUACGCUAGCAGGCGGAAGAGGACGGAGAACUGCGAUGGGAGGUCAGACGGACCACGCUCAUCCAGGGGUUUAUUGCCCAAAAUGAUGUUCAAGACCUCUCACAUCAGCAGAAGAACAAAACGACUAUGAGAAUUACACCUGUCAGAAGACUGGUCAGAGCAGCAAACUUUUCAAGGCAAAAAAAUAAUGAUGGUAGUGAUAGUGCUGGAUUUCUAAUGGUCAAUGAGAUGCAUGUUUGCUGAAUUCAACAUCUGGGCAUGCCCUUUGCAGAUCGUAUGGAAGAGGAAUGAGCCCCAGAGUAGGACAGGAAAGACUGAGAUUCAGAGCCAAUGUCUCUGCUUGUGGGUCACCCUGGCCAUGUCACAAGCCUGUUAAAUGUGUUCUCUCCACUAUAACCACAAAUAUCAGAACCCUCUCUGUCUUCAUCAAAGAGCUGUUGCAAAUUUAAGCUAAGAUGGAUAUGUAGUUUCUUAUUUAAACAGAGAGUAUUUUUGGAUUAUUGAAAAUAUUCUAACCCUGUUAAAAGGAAAAGCUUGGUUCAAAUUGUAUAACCUCUAUUAAAGAUUUCAUAUACUGCACAUUAAUUGUAUUUCAAAAUAAGUAAUAAACCACAAGGUCUAAUUGAUGAGCUCUAUUGAUCAGAGAACUACCUUAUAAAAGAUUCUGUGAUGAGUUAGGGCUUUGGGGCCUAGGAACUAAUAGGCUAGAAAAGUGAAUUUGGCAAAAUUUGUAUUUUAGCUCCAUAUUUAAAAAAUUAAAGAGAAAUGAAGAUAUAUACCAGUAUUCUUCCAUUCACAACAACAACAACAAAUGAUCCCUGGACAGUUACCUGCUCUUCCUAUGUGCCCAUCCCUGGUGAAUGGUACCUCUAACACCUAUAAUAAUCUAUAAGCCAGAAACCUAGAUUGAUCUUUGGUCUCUCCAUUUGCCUUUCUGUCUAGUCUACCAAAUAUCCAAUUAGUUCUAUAUCCUAAACAUCUUUAAAAUCUACUCCCUCUGCUUUUCCCUCUGCCUUAUACUUUAUGAGACCACGGUGUUAUUUCCUCAAGAACUUUACCCAACCAAUUUCUACACAUCCUGGGCUUUCUCCCUCAUAUAUACUCUUUUGUAAAAGCCAG